rnacentral:rRNA from 1 species
GACGAACCGUACGAACGUUAUUCGGAAUCACUGGGCUUAAAGGGUGCGUAGGCGGCGCAGUAAGUUGGGUGUGAAAUCCCUCGGCUUAACCGAGGAAUUGCGCCCAAAACUACUGUGCUCGAGGGAGGUAGAGGUGAGCGGAACUUAGGGUGGAGCGGUGAAAUGCGUUGAUAUCCUAAGGAACACCGGUGGCGAAAGCGGCUCACUGGACCACAACUGACGCUGAUGCGCGAAAGCUAGGGGAGCAAACAGG